ACUGUGGUAGAAAUUACUGAUUAUAUUCUAUGGUAAACUGUGAUUAUUAUGAGGUCUUUUAUAUCUAAUAGUGGAAAACACACGGUGCCUAGGUGUCUGGGUUUAGAACAGAUGGAGCCCCCCUAAAAGGAGCAGGGCUAUCUUUGCAGACCAUUUGUUGUCUAUUUUCUGUCCAUUCAGGUUAAAGUGGAUUUAUGACUGAAUGGAGGCAGACACCUCAAGGAGAAGCUGCUCUGUUUGUGUGUAUAAAAAGACGCCGCAGUUUGCGAACGACAGUGACUCUGCAAACCCACUCAGGCUGUUGUCGUUGUUGUUUUUCUUCACGAUAAAGUCUUUUUCAAUUCUUGCUCCGGACCCCUCGAUUUCUUUUACUCUCUCUCUUAAAUUAGUCUAAGUGUUUUAAAUCUCGAUUAAUCUCCGACAUAAUUGGCGUCACGACCAGGAGGAAAUAGGGACUCGUCAGCUGCCGGGCCAGAGGACGGGACGCGAACGGAUCAUACGACCAGAGCUCAAGGAAAAAACGUAGAACCACCACUGGGAUGGGUGAUUCUGUGGUUCUUGGAGACUCUCCAACGCAUCGGAACACCAUAUGAUGGGUGGAAGCAGUCCCAUCAGAAGACCAAAGUGCGGCUACGGUAAUCAAGGCUCUGACGAGAGAAGUCAUGGCAAGGUUUGGAAUUCCGUCACAAAUUAGCUCAGACGACAGAGCAGCGUUUGUUCAGAAAACACUCAGACAGGUGAUUUAACAUCUGCAUGUCAAAUAAAGACUAGUCCGUGUCUACAUUCCUCAAACCACAAGGUAUGGUGGAGAGAGGAAUGGGACGCUUAAGACAAAGAUUAACAAAAUUAAAUUAGAGUACUAAAUUGGAGGACUAAUGCACUACGACUGACACUAAUGAGUUAUCGCAUGAAAACUAACAGAACGACGCAUCUAACCCCGCAUGAAAUGCUUACGGGUCGACCCAUGCCUUCACCUGUCAUUCGAGGGCCUCAUAAAGGACCUCCAUUAGAACAAUUGGAAACUGAAUUAAGACGUUAUAUGGGACAACUAACUGGCAUACAAAGGCUUAUUUUUCAACAAGAGAAAGACAGAGUUCCAGAGUUGGAGAAGGAGCCACCAAGGGGGGUGGAGCCAGGUGACCAAGUGUAUCUCAGGAUGUUCAGGAGAAAGUGGAACGAGCCCAGAGAAGGACCAUACAAAGUCACCAACGCAACACCAACAGCCAUCCAAGUGGAAGGAAGUGCCACGUGGUAUCAUCUCAACCACUGCACAAAAGCCGCUCAACCUAAAGCCAGGGAUGAGCAUGAGGAGGAGGAGCCAGACGCAGACACGCCUGGGGCUGACCAGCUGCCCCAGGACCAGAUCCAGUUGAGUCAAGAGAUUCAGCAACAUGAUAAUGCUGAAAACGGGGAGCCUGUUCCUGAUCCUUUACGGGUUGUGCCAGAUUCCGCUGGCACAAGGACAGACCCCGAGGAAGGAUGAAACCACGGAGACAACACAGACCUGGAAGAGCCAGGAAUCAGGGGCUGGUACUGAAGGAAGCCAGAGAGAAUAUAUACUUCUUAAAGCUGUGGCUUGGCAGAACAGACAGGCCUUAGAUUGGCUUUUAGCAGAAAAGGGGGGAGUUUGUGAUCUUAUAGGUGAAAUGUGUUGUACCUUCAUUCCAAAUAAUACUGCCCCAGAUGGAUCAUUUACACUUGCGAUGAACAAUUAAAAACGUUUAAGAAAAGAAUUAAAGGAAAACGCAGGCCAUGAUCAGGGAAUGUUUGGAUGGCUUGAAACAAAGUUUGGUAUGUGGGGAAUGAUGUUCGCAAAGAUAGGAGUAGUGCUCCUAAUAGUACUAACAGUGAUGGGUCUGAUCUUUUGCUGCUGCAUUCCCAUAGUCAGAUCCGUAAUAGCAUCCAGGCUUUCUAAAGAGAUGGCCCUCAUGGUGACUGGCAUAGAGGAGGGUUGGGAGGGAGAGGGUGCGCCGAGAGGAUGGUCGCACUGACAAUGGCUCUGCAUGCACUACGCAGCUUUAUGUUUAUAAUUGUUUUUAUUGUUAGUUUUUUUGUCGCUCAUUCAGUAUGAUCGACUGGCACUUUUGGAAAUUCGUGAGUCACAGCGAGUGCUUGCUGUGACUCCUUUGUCUUACCGCCGGUAUGCCUACCAAUACGCCGACGGAAGAGAAAGAAGAGAGGCAAGCGAGCCGGCAUCCUGUGCAGAUCUCGGACGAGAUACUGCAACCCACCGCUUCCAAGCAUUCUACUAGCGAAUGUGCAAUCUUUGGACAAUAAACUGGACGAGCUACACGCACGGAUUGAAUUCCAGCGGGACAUUGCAAACUGUUGUGUACUGGCGUUUACCGAGACCUGGCUGGAUCCUAUGGUGCCUGACUCUGCCGUCACUCCGACCGGCUUCUCCAUCUACCGGCAGGACAGGACUUCCGAGUCAGGUAAAAGAAGGGGAGGAGGGGUAUGCUUGAUGGUUAACUCUCGCUGGGGCUCGGAUUUUGCUGCACUUUCAGCACACUGCUCACCAGACCUGGAGCUGUUAUCGAUUAAAGUUCGCCCCUUCUAGCUCCCAUGGGAAUUCAGCUCCGUUAUUGUCACAGCAGUAUACAUUCCACCGCAGGCGGACAAAACGUGCGCGUUAGAGGAACUUUACAGAGUAAUUAAUGGACUUGAGGAUGCUCACCCUGAGGCGGUUUCUAUUGUUGUUGGAGACUUCAAUAGGACCAAUAUGAAGAAAGUUUUACC
ensembl:lncRNA